CAGUCGCCACGGUAAUACGGAGGGAGCUAGCGUUGUUCGGAAUUACUGGGCGUAAAGCGCGCGUAGGCGGUUACUCAAGUCAGAGGUGAAAGCCCGGGGCUCAACCCCGGAACUGCCUUUGAAACUAGGUGACUAGAAUCUUGGAGAGGUCAGUGGAAUUCCGAGUGUAGAGGUGAAAUUCGUAGAUAUUCGGAAGAACACCAGUGGCGAAGGCGACUGACUGGACAAGUAUUGACGCUGAGGUGCGAAAGCGUGGGGAGCAAACAGGAUUAGAUACCCGGGUAGUCCCUGUCUCUUAUAC
rnacentral:rRNA from 1 species